rnacentral:rRNA from 1 species
UACAGGGGGUGCAAACGUUGCUCGGAAUCAUUGGGCGUAAAGCGCACGUAGGCGAGCUGUUAUGUCGGAUGUGAAAGCCCUUGGCUCAACUGAGGAAGUGCAUCCGAAACUGGCAGGCUAGAGUACGAAAGAGGAUCGCGGAAUUCCCGGUGUAGAGGUGAAAUUCGUAGAUAUCGGGAGGAACACCGGUGGCGAAGGCGGCGAUCUGGGUCGAUACUGACGCUGAGGUGCGAAAGCGUGGGGAGCAAACAGG